rnacentral:tRNA from 1 species
GGAUAUAGCUCAGUUGGUAGAGUCCUUGCCUAGCAUGCACAAGGCCCUGGGUUCAAUCCCCAGCACCA